ACGACUGCUAAUACCGCAUAAUGUCUUCCGACCAAAGGAGGGGAUUCUUCGGAACCUUUCGCGUAAAGAUUAGCCCAAGUGGGAUUAGCUAGUUGGUGGGGUAAUGGCUCACCAAGGCGACGAUCCCUAGCUGGUUUGAGAGGAUGAUCAGCCACACUGGGACUGAGACACGGCCCAGACUCCUACCGGAGGCAGCAGUGGGGAAUAUUGCACAAUGGGCGAAAGCCUGAUGCAGCCAUGCCGCGUGUGUGAAGAAGGCCUUCGGGUUGUAAAGCACUUUCACUCGUGAGGAAGGGGUAGUAAUUAAUACUUGCUAUCUUUGACGUUAGCGACAGAAGAAAGACCGGCUAACUCCGUGCCAGCAGCCGCGGUAAUACGGAGGGUCCGAGCGUUAAUCGGAAUUACUGGGCGUAAAGCGUACGCAGGCGGCUUGUUAAGCCAGAUGUGAAAUCCCCGGGCUCAACCUGGGAAUGGCAUUUGGAACUGGCAAGCUAGAGUUUUGUAGAGGGUGGUAGAAUUUCAGGUGUAGCGGUGAAAUGCGUAGAGAUCUGAAGGAAUACCAGUGGCGAAGGCGGCCACCUGGACAAAAACUGACGCUCAUGUACGAAAGCGUGGGGAGCAAACAGGAUUAGAUACCCUGGUAGUCCACGCCGUAAACGAUGUCUACUAGUUGUCUGUGAGUUUAACUCGUGGGUAACGCAGCUAACGCAUUAAUGUAGACCGCCUGGGGAGUACGGCCGCAAGGUUAAAACUCAAAUGAAUUUGACGGGGGCCCCGCACAAGCGGUGGAGCAUGUGGUUUAA
rnacentral:rRNA from 1 species